CAUUGAUCGGUUUCCCCAUCAGUGAAAAGGGCACUCCACUAACAGCUACAGUGCAAAAGAACUACAGGAAAGAUUCUGCAGAGCUUGAUGUGAGCCCCACAGGAAGAAAGAAGCUGCAGUGCCAUUGCCUGGGGGAUUGCUCUUAACAUCAUUAUUCUCAUUUUGUUCUCUAAUAUUCUGGUAACACUUCCAUUGACAGGCUUUGAAAUGUACUCAGCCUGAAAGAUCUGUUGAACAUUUUAUAUGCCUGAGACCACCAUGGACCAACCUGUUACCUUUUAGAAAAACACCAAAAGGUUUUUUGU
rnacentral:lncRNA from 11 species